rnacentral:rRNA from 1 species
UACGAAGGGUGCAAGCGUUACUCGGAAUUACUGGGCGUAAAGCGUGCGUAGGUGGUGGGUUAAGUCUGUCGUGAAAGCCCCGGGCUCAACCUGGGAAUGGCGAUGGAUACUGGCUCGCUAGAGUGCGGUAGAGGAGAGUGGAAUUCCCGGUGUAGCAGUGAAAUGCGUAGAGAUCGGGAGGAACAUCAGUUGCGAAGGCGGCUCUCUGGACCAGCACUGACACUGAGGCACGAAAGCGUGGGGAGCAAACAGGA